GUGUCAGCCGCCGCGGUAAUACAGAGACUGCAAGCGUUAUUCGGAUUCACUGGGCGUAAAGGGUGCGCAGGUGGCCAAGUGUGUUAGGCGUGAAAGCCCGGGGCUUAACCCCGGAAUUGCACCUAAAACUACUUGGCUAGAGCAUUGGAGAGGGGAGCAGAAUUCACGGUGUAGCAGUGAAAUGCGUAGAUAUCGUGAGGAAUACCAGAGGCGAAGGCGGCUCCCUGGACAAUUGCUGACACUCAGGCACGAAAGCGUGGGGAGCAAAAGGGAUUAGAAACCCCGGUAGUCC
rnacentral:rRNA from 1 species